UGUCACCGAGCAACUCACGAAUCUUAACAUGUAUCUGAUAAUUGAAGUUCAUCCAUACACCCUAUAAAUAACUCGUAGUACCAUCAUAUGCAUUUCAACCCAAUUGCUUGCUCUGCACCCACAGAACUAGUUCACGAUCAGAAGAGCUCUGACGAAUAACCGAUCAAGUUGUUUCCUGGUAGUGUGCUCGUUGAUUGUCCGAGUAGUAGCUCAAUGACGGGAUUGGGUGUAGCAAUCUGCAAAAUACGUGGUGGUUAUCAAGCACAUUAGAUCGAUAUAUACUCAAUUAUCAUGGCAUGGAACAACCGUUGGGGUGUUAGGGGACGCAAUUCAGAUCGCAUGAGGCAAGAUGAGGAAGAUGAGGCCUUGCUACUUAUGAGUGCCUCGUUAAUGUUAAUGCAUCCGUCUCUUGCACACAUAAGGAACAAUCAACCAAUUCCGCAACAUGAUGCGUUACACAACUUUUUAAGGAUGCACCAGCCAGAAGAUGACCAUUUUCAACGGUUCGAAGCAGAGGAUGUGCAUUUAAAUGAAGAGCCAGAAGUAGGCGGGCCAGUACGACAGCCAUUUGCAUUGAACGUAUCUCCUGCAGAGCUUGCGGAAUGAAAGGCUAAGCGAGACUACAUAGCGACUCAAAUGUACGCAGCACGGGGGCGACGACGCCGCUAGGUGUUUUUUGAAUUCACCGAUAAAUAAUUGUUAGUAACAGUACAAUUGAUGGAUGGAGUGUACUUAAAAUGGCCUCUUCUUCCAAGCUAAUAAAUUAAUGUGUACGGUAUCUGUAUUAAGUGUGAAUCGGUUUAUAUUUUAAGUCGCAAAAGUCAAAAUUUU